rnacentral:rRNA from 1 species
AGAGGGGGCAAGCGUUAUUCGGAAUUAUUGGGCGUAAAGGGCGCGUAGGCGGUGUCUUAAGUGAGAUGUGUAAUCCCCGAGCUUAACUUGGGAACUGCAUCUCAGACUGGGGCGCUAGAGUACUGGAGAGGGUGGUAGAAUUCCACGUGUAGCGGUGAAAUGCGUAGAGAUGUGGAGGAAUACCAGUGGCGAAGGCGGCCACCUGGACAGUAACUGACGCUGAGGCGCGAAAGUGUGGGUAGCAAACAGGAUUAGAUACCCUGGUAGUCCACGCUGUAAACGAUGAACACUUGGUGUGGCGGGAGUUGACCCCUGCCGUGCCGGAGCUAACGCGAUAAGUGUUCCGCCUGGGGAGUACGGUCGCAAGGCUG